GGGCGAUUAGCUCAGUUGGGAGAGCACCUCCUUACAAGGAGGGGGUCACUGGUUCGAGCCCGGUAUCGCCCACCA
rnacentral:tRNA from 1 species